GGGGAUGUACCUCAGUGGCAGAGAGCAUGCUUCCCAUGUGUAAGGCCUCGGGUUCAGUCCCUGGCAUUUCCA
rfam:Ovis aries breed Texel chromosome 1, whole genome shotgun sequence.